rnacentral:rRNA from 1 species
UACGUAGGGGCAAGCGUUGUCCGGAAUCAUUGGGCGUAAAGAGCGUGUAGGCGGCCCGAUAAGUCCGCUGUGAAAGUCCAGGGCUCAACCCUGGAAUGCCGGUGGAUACUGUCGGGCUAGAGUCCGGAAGAGGCGAGUGGAAUUCCUGGUGUAGCGGUGGAAUGCGCAGAUAUCAGGAGGAACACCGAUAGCGAAGGCAGCUCGCUGGGACGGUACUGACGCUGAGGUGCGAAAGCGUGGGGAGCGAACAGG